ACUGCGAGCAUGCAAGAUGACCAGCAAGCAUCGACAGGGAUACUGCAGAGGCGGAACACACAAGAAACCGCUCCUGGAACCCCUACUAACCUACCUGGGCCGAGAGCCACCAGAGGCUUGUCCUCCAAGCAUCGCUCACACAGAUUGCCCGCGGAAAAUGGCGACUGUCACCUGAAUCUGCCGCCCCCCCAGAGAAGGAGAAGGAGAUAGAAUCGAACACCAGAUGGAUCCGUGUCUGCGGUACACUGAUGCCAGCCCUCACGCAGGCCUGGGGUUGGAAGGGCACUUCGCCCUGGAACAACGUAUUCUCCGGAGGAGCUGUGGCACUUCCACUUACAGGAGUCGGUUGAGCUAACUAACCGGACUACUGCCUCAGUUAAUUUAGCACACGACACCCUAUGCUGUCAUUUUUAUUUCUUUUACCUAUCUACAGAAUAUUCCACCUAUCCUGCUUACAUUGAGGUGUCUGUUCAGCCUGAUCUUUUAAAG